UACGUAGGGCGCAAGCGUUUGUCCGGAAUUAUUGGGCGUAAAGAGCUCGUAGGCGGUUUGUCGCGUCUGGUGUGAAAACUCAAGGCUCAACCUUGAGCUUGCAUCGGGUACGGGCAGACUAGAGUGUGGUAGGGGGUGACUGGAAUUCCUGGUGUAGCGGUGGAAUGCGCAGAUAUCAGGAGGAACACCAAUGGCGAAGGCAGAUCUCUGGGCCGUAACUGACGCUGAGGAGCGAAAGCAUGGGGGAGCGAACAGG
rnacentral:rRNA from 1 species